rnacentral:rRNA from 1 species
GUUGGUGAGCAGUGCGUGCCGUGGCACCACCCGUUCCCACCUGAAUACGAGAGAGAAGCUGCAGUACAUACUGCAGUUUAUCAUUCUCCCCAACC